CCGGCCAGCCGUCUCGGCUCCUCGCGGACCCGCGCGAGGGAUGUGGCAGUGAUGGGCCGGCUCCCAGGUGCCGCCCAAGGCAUGGCGGAGCGGAAUUAGGUCUCCCCAGCGGGUUCCAGGCCAAGCAUCAGCAGCCCGCGCGUCUGGUUGGGUGUGAGCGGAUCACUCGAGCCGCGACCCCUACCCUGAAGCCAACGGUCAACCAUCAACCACCGCCGGUUCCAUAGCCACCGGCCCGCGAGGCACCCACAGCAGCCAAUCAGCGAACGGCCUAUGUAGCCAAUCAGAGCGCGGAGCACUAGAGGACUCUGUCCGGCGGUACCCCCGGCUACUGGGAGGCGGAGGAGCGCACUGCGCAGCCAAAGGCUCCCGGGCACGGUUGCCUUGGAAACCAACUCCCUCCCUUCAGGGGCCUCUAGGCUGGAAGGUCCCUCCGACUGCUUGGUAGAAAUCGAAAAAUCUCUGUCUGCGGCUGCACCUGACUCUUGAAAACUCGGCAAGUGUUGGUUUUGCCUAUUCUGAUUUUAUUUCUUGGGAGAUGGUUUAUAAAUUCUGAGGAAACGUCCCUCAGGAUUGCAGGAAGAAAGCAUGAGAGAUGAGGAAUGUGGAGCCAGUGCUGCUGGCCCUUGACUCCAGGGUCAAGAGCCCCACCUUCUGGUCUACUGUGCAAAUUACAAAAGGAAGUAGGCCACGGAGGCAGGCUGGUAGGCUGCCUGAGGCUGCUGCUAUCUGGAGCACUGCGGAAGACAGGCCCUUGCCUCCCAGGCCUGAUUUGCUCUCUCCUUCCUGAAGGAGGCCAGCUUCCAUGACUCCAGGCACAGGUUCCCUAUGAGUAAUAUAUGGAACCAGCUUCUACUGCUCCCCGCCUUGGUGGUAAAAGUGCAAUUGUGUGCCUAGCCAGCAAACAGGCCCCGGAGGAGCUGGAAGGAAAAUAUUCAGCCAAGGACAUCACCUCAGACUGAUUAUUUUUCUUAAAGAAGCAGAAAAAUAGAGCACUACAGAACUGGCUUACUGACAGGGAUAGGUUCUGAGAGAUGUAUUAUUAGGCAAUUCCAUCACUGGGCAAAUGUCAAAGAUUGUACACAAAUUAAAAUGGCUGCAACAUCAA